UGGAGAGUCACUGUGCCAGGAAAUGAGUGCAGGUGACAGUCUGUUUGGAGGAACAGUACUCAUUACUGGGGUACUGAGGUUUACUGUAUCUAACAUUCCCAGAAUUCCCUGGGCCCCCACUGACCUGUCAACACAUUCCUAAAGCUCCGUCCACUCUCUAAUUGGCUGGGACAUCAAUGCCUCCUGGUGCUGAUUGGCUCUCCUCUGAAAACGCUGAGGCAACAUAGAACUUUACCAGCUCUGUUUACACGCAUCCCCCCAUUGCCGUGACAACACUGAAUGUUGCAAUGCAGGGAGUGCCUUGAAGCUCUGUCAUAUUUUUAUCCUGCAGAACCUCUCAACAUAAAUCAUCAUUUCACUAAGAAGAGUGUAGCAGAGAGCAUGCUGGAUGUAGCGCUGCUGAUGGCUAACGUCUCUCAGCUGAAAGCUGUCCUGGAGCAGG